UGAUGAUGAUGACCCUCAGCUCCUGCAUUACCAAUAGAGCAACCUCAAAACGUCAUCCUCCAUCAAGUCAUCUUACAUUUUUUCAAGGAGAAAAUUAUAAGCAACUGAAGAUCUGAGACAUAACACUAAAAUGUGCAGAAAUUGAGGUCACUUGCCAUGGACACGACAGGCUCCAGAAGCUUAUCCCCUGGAACAUCAAUCCAAGUCAUCUCCAAAGCGUUGGGAUCACCAGGUGAACAUGGCGUUAGGAGGUCGUCCACAAUCACAGAUGGAUCAGCAUUUGAAGGACCUCUGACCUACAAAUAAACAUCAUGUCACAGGAAACAACCAAAGAACAAAGGAUAUAAUAUUUCGCUGAGAUUCUGGAAACCCAACUUCAUUUGCUGUUAAGCAAGGAGUCAGAGAAUUUCAAAAACCUCUUUGUAGAAGACUACUUGGUUGGAUAAUGCUCCCAAUUAAAGAACUAGCCAACUACAGUGAAGUAUUUGGUCUGGUGGCCUGUAUGAA